AUUGAACGCUGCGGCAGGCCUAACACAUGCAAGUCGAACGAGUGGCGGACGGGUGAGUAAUGUCUGGGAACCGCCCCAUGGGGGGGGGUUACUACUGGAAACGGUUGCUUAAACCCCCUACCAUUGGGUUGUGCCAGAAGGGAUUAGCUAGUAGGUGGGGUAAAGGCCCACCUAGGCGACGAUCCCUUGCCGGUCUUGGAGGAUGACCAGCCACACUGGAACUGAGACACGGUCCAGACUCCUACGGGAGGCAGCAGUGGGGAAUAUUGCACAAUGGGCGCAAGCCUGAUGCAGCCAUGCCGCGUGUAUGAAGAAGGCCUUCGGGUUGUAAAGUACUUUCAGCGGGGAGGCGUUACCCGCAGAAGAAGCACCGGCUAACUCCGUGCCAGCCGCCGCGGUAAAC
rnacentral:rRNA from 1 species